rnacentral:lncRNA from 1 species
UUGAAUGUAUUUUGUAUGCAUGAAUGGAGAUGGAAACCAGCGUGUGUUAUUGAUCCUCAGGGAGUACAUUAUAUAGAGGUACAGAGGAUGGGAGAGAAGACACACACGCACGCACUAGCUACAACAGAAUCGGUUAGCGAUCCUAUAUUGUAGGCAUGACUGAGAAGAUGCCUUGCAUGGAUAAGCCAUGCAUGCGGUAGAAGUGGCUGCCAAGUUAU